AUGUUUGGAGUUGACAAAGCUAUAACCCAUUACAUCCUGACCAAUCUUCUUUGCAACAAUCUGAACUCUCGCGUACGCAAUCUCCGAACUCUAAUUUAUACUUUUUCCCUUUCAACUCAGAAUGUUGACAUUGAUUUGUCAAUACUGUUAUUCUCGAUCUUUGUAAAAUUAACAAGGCAUAAGAAGCAUUCGGUUUAUGCUAUGAAUUGGUGGAGAAGGGUUUACAUCAAGAAUUGA